UACGUAGGUGGCAAGCGUUGUCCGGAUUUACUGGGCGUAAAGAGCGCGCAGGCGGUCGCUCAAGUCGCGUGUGAAAGCCCCCGGCUCAACUGGGGAGGGUCACGCGAUACUGAUCGACUGGAAGGCAGGAGAGGGUAGUGGAAUUCCCGGUGUAGUGGUGAAAUGCGUAGAUAUCGGGAGGAACACCAGUGGCGAAGGCGGCUUUUUGGUCUGUAACUGACGCUGAGGCGCGAAAGCGUGGGGAGCAAACAGG
rnacentral:rRNA from 1 species